AAAGAAGUUGACGGGCCCGCACAAGCAGCGGAGCGUGUGGUUUAAUUCGAUGUUACACGAAGAACCUUACCAGGGUUUGACAUGCAAGUGGUAGGAAGCCGAAAGGUGACCGACCCUUCGGGGAGCUUGCACAGGUGCUGCAUGGCUGUCGUCAGCUCGUGUCGUGAGAUGUUCGGUUAAGUCCGCUAACGAGCGCAACCCUCGCUGUGUGUUAUAUGUGUCACACGGGACUGCCGGUCUUAAGCCGGAGGAAGGUGGGGAUGAUGUCAAGUCAGCAUGGCCUUUAUAUCCUGGGCUACACACACGCUACAAUGGCCAACACAAUAGGUUGCUAAGCCGCGAGGUGGCGCCAAUCCAUAAAGUUGGUCUCAGUUCAGAUUGUAGGCUGCAACCCGCCUGCAUGAAGAUGGAGUUGCUAGUAACCGCAGGUCAGCUAUACUGCGGUGAAUACGUUCCCGGGGCUU
rnacentral:rRNA from 1 species